UUUAAUUGAAGAGUUUGAUCAUGGCUCAGAUUGAACGCUGGCGGCAGGCCUAACACAUGCAAGUCGAACGGUAGCACAGAGAGCUUGCUCUUGGGUGACGAGUGGCGGACGGGUGAGUAAUGUCUGGGAAACUGCCCGAUGGAGGGGGAUAACUACUGGAAACGGUAGCUAAUACCGCAUAACGUCUUCGGACCAAAGUGGGGGACCUUCGGGCCUCACACCAUCGGAUGUGCCCAGAUGGGAUUAGCUAGUAGGUGGGGUAACGGCUCACCUAGGCGACGAUCCCUAGCUGGUCUGAGAGGAUGACCAGCCACACUGGAACUGAGACACGGUCCAGACUCCUACGGGAGGCAGCAGUGGGGAAUAUUGCACAAUGGGCGCAAGCCUGAUGCAGCCAUGCCGCGUGUAUGAAGAAGGCCUUCGGGUUGUAAAGUACUUUCAGUGGGGAGGAAGGCGA
rnacentral:rRNA from 1 species